AGAAACAAUGGGGGAUAUAGCUACUAGUCAAACUGAGACAAAGAAGAAUUAGUUCAAAUUAUAGUGGGACUCUUCCCUGGUCAGGGGUUGGGUCUCAGUAUUGUUGGUGGGCGUGGCUCUCCCACUGGGGACGUACCCAUUUAUGUAAAGAGGAUCCUACCUGAGUCAGUGUUACAGAAAGACUCAGAGAUAAAGACUGGAGAUGAACUGGUAGCAGUUAAUGAUUUAAUAAUACAUAAUGUAACUAAGGACUAUGCUACUGAAGCUCUUACUAAUGUACAGGGAGCAGUGAGACUACUACUGAUACAGGACCUAUGAA